AGACCGUUCUCUUCAGAGGCCGGUCAUUGGAAUGGGUACAAUUUAAACCCUUUAACGAGUAUCUAUGAGAGGGCAAGUCUGGUGCCAGCAGCCGCGGUAAUUCCAGCUCUCAAAAUGCAUAGAAUCAUUGCUGCGGUUAAAAAGCUCGUAGUUGGAUCUGUGCUGGCGGGUCGGUCCACCUUCGGGUGCGCACUGAUUUCGCCGGCUUUCCUGCUGUAUUUGGCCCUGUGCCUUUCAACGGGUGCAGUGUCCAGUGCAGCAAGUUUACCUUGGACAAAUCAGAGUGCUUCAAACAGGCGUUUCGCUUGAAUGUUCGUGCAUGGAAUAAUAGAAGAGGAUUUCGGUUCUAUUUUAUUGGUUUUAUAGACUGAGAUAAUGGUUAACAGAGACUAACGGGGGCAUUAGUAUUGCUACGUGAGAGGUGAAAUUCUUGGACCGUAGCAAGACUGACUACAGCGAAAGCAUUUGCCAAGAAAGUCUUCAUUAAUCAAGAACGAAAGUCAGAGGUUCGAAGGCGAUCAGAUACCGCCCUAGUUCUGACCGUAAACGAUGCCAACUAGUGAUCCGCCGGUGGAACAUUCGCCCUGGUGGGGAACUUCCCGGAAACGAAAGUCUUCCGGUUCCGGGGGAAGUAUGGUUGCAAAGCUGAAACUUAAAGGAAUUGACGGAAGGGCACCACCAGGAGUGGAGCCUGCGGCUUAAUUUGACCCAACACGGGAAAACUCACCCGGCCCGGACACCGUAAGGAUUGACAGAUUGAUAGCUCUUUCAUGAUUCGGUGGAUGGUGGUGCAUGGCCGUUCUUAGUUUGUGGAGCGAUUUGUCUGGUUUAUUCCGAUAACGAGCGAGACUCUGGCCUACUAAAUAGUUUACACAUUGCUUCUGUGUGCAUAACUUCUUAGAGGGAUUUUCGGUGUUCAGCCGCAAGAAAUUGAGCAAUAACAGGUCUGUGAUGCCCUUAGAUGUCCGGGGCUGCACGCGCGCUACACUGGCAAAAUCAGCGUGCUUGUCCUUCCCCGAAAGGGGUUGGUAAACUCGUGAAAAUUUGCCGUGAUUGGGAUCGGAAAUUGCAAUUAUUUUCCGUGAACGAGGAAUUCCAAGUAAGUGCGAGUCAUCAACUCGCGUUGAUUACGUCCCUGCCCUUCGUACACACCGCCCGUCGCUGCCCGGGACUGAGCCGUUUCGAGAAACUUGGAGACCGCUGAUCUGGUAACUUCGAUUGCCAUUUUGGUGGGAACCAAUUUAA
rnacentral:rRNA from 1 species